AAAUUGAAGAGUUUGAUCAUGGCUCAGAUUGAACGCUGGCGGCAGGCCUAACACAUGCAAGUCGAACGGUAACAGGAAGCAGCUUGCUGCUUUGCUGACGAGUGGCGGACGGGUGAGUAAUGUCUGGGAAACUGCCUGAUGGAGGGGGAUAACUACUGGAAACGGUGGCUAAUACCGCAUAACGUCGCAAGACCAAAGAGGGGGACCUUCGGGCCUCUUGCCAUCAGAUGUGCCCAGAUGGGAUUAGCUUGUUGGUGAGGUAACGGCUCACCAAGGCGACGAUCCCUAGCUGGUCUGAGAGGAUGACUAGCCACACUGGAACUGAGACACGGUCCAGACUCCUACGGGAGGCAGCAGUGGGGAAUAUUGCACAAUGGGCACAAGCCUGAUGCAGCCAUGCCGCGUGUAUGAAGAAGGCCUUCGGGUUGUAAAGUACUUUCAGCGGGGAGGAAGGUGUUGUGGUUAAUAACCGCAGCAAUUGACGUUACCCGCAGAAGAAGCACCGGCUAACUCCGUGCCAGCAG
rnacentral:rRNA from 1 species